GUUGGGAAAUGAUGCUCAGACACAAACAGAUUGUCAAAAGCACAAACAAUGCUGACUGUAUCUAUAUUUGCACGUUAGUCUGACCCAAA
rnacentral:snoRNA from 1 species